UGGGGAAUAUUGCACAAUGGGGGGAAACCCUGAUGCAGCGACGCCGCGUGAGUGAAGAAGUAUUUCGGUAUGUAAAGCUCUAUCAGCAGGGAAGAAGACGACGGUACCUGACUAAGAAGCCCCGGCUAACUACGUGCCAGCAGCCGCGGUAAUACGUGUGGUGCAAGCGUUAUCCGGAUUUACUGGGUGUAAAGGGAGCGCAGGCGGUGCGGCAAGUCUGAUGUGAAAGCCCGGGGCUCAACCCCGGUACUGCAUUGGAAACUGUCGUACUAGAGUGUCAGAGGGGUAAGUGGAAUUCCUAGCGUAGCGGUGAAAUGCGUAGAUAUUAGGAGGAACACCAGUGGCGAAGGCGGCUUACUGGACAAUAACUGACGCUGAGGCUCGAAAGCGUGGGGAGCAAACAGGAUUAGAUACCCUGGUAGU
rnacentral:rRNA from 1 species